GGAUUAGAAGUGCUUUGGGGACCAAUCCCCCUACCCACAGCUUCUAUGUGACAUUACCUAUUCCUGACUCUACAGUGGUCAGAUCCCUCACACACACACACACAGAAAGUUGACUUCCUGCUAGAGUAGCCGAUCUACUCUACAAAAAAAAUUUGUUUUUGUUUUUGUUACUAGGGAUUGAUUGGGCAUCUGCAUUGUUUCUUUAUAAUGAAUAUGAGAUCUUUUGACACCACAAUUCAGGGAAAACUUGCUCAUCUGUGUUCCAUGAUCUCUAUAGGUCUUACCUAAGUGCAAUAUCCCUAGCCAAAUAAAAUUUAUCAAAGUAUGACUUAGAUUUGCAUCACUUUCUUCUUAAAGCCUUCUGCAGUUUCUUGUCACCUAUCCAUUAAGUUCUUUUUCCAUUAACUUAGCUUCUGUAGCUCUCAGGAUUUGCCUUUAGUAUACCUUUACCAUUUAUAAUCUAUAUUUCCACCAAGUCAUAUAGCUUACUAUUCUCUAAACAUGUUGUAAAAUUCCAUUGAUUUGUAUUUACUAAGCUUGUCAUGUGGAGAUUCCUUCUCUCCCCUUCCCAUUUAUAGCCAAUAAGUAUUAUUCAGCAAUUAAGUCCUCAAUAAAAGGCCACUAACUUGAACCUGUUCUUUUUCGUUACAAAUUUCACAUUACAUUUGACCUCUGUGAUAUAUACUGUUUAAAUUUCCCAUAUUCAUUUGUUGCCUUAGGCAAAUACUUUCUUUUAAAACUAUCUUUGGUCCUGAGUCAGGAGCCUGGCAAAUAGUAGAUAUAAGAUUAAAGUAGAUGUAAGUAUAAAGUAAAGAAUAAUUCUUUCUGAAAUGAGUGACAUACUGAGUGAGCCUUUCUUUUUUGGCAGGAAAAUUUGUUUUUGUUUUUGUUACUAGGGAUUGAGUCCAGGGAUGUUUUACUACUGAGCUAUAUCUCCAG
rnacentral:lncRNA from 1 species